UGGCACCAUGCAGAGGGCGACUCCUGGGAUGUUUCAUUUAAUCCUCACAGCAGCACAGUUGUCAGGGGAAAAGGACACCAAGCACACUCAGAGCCUGCACCAGUACACCUGCCUGGCAGUGGGUGUGGAAGAGCCAAAACUGCAAUCAAGACCCCUACCCCCACCGGCCAGGUUCUCAGCGCCCACUGGUCUACGUUCCAGCCUCCUGGAGUCCCUCUGAGUGUGUCUGUGGCUGCAGCUGGACCCAGUUUUGAAUUCUUUUCAAGUUUCAUUUCAAAUGGGAUUUCAGAAUAAAAACGA
rnacentral:lncRNA from 1 species